AUCACCAGCUCAAGCCCAGAUCUAACAGUUCCCCUACAAUGGUUCAGAAGAAUAAGAACUAUAACUGGUCUAAAGAUUGUACCAGAACAGUGUAAUUGUUACUCCAGGCAACAUCAGGUUACUAGGGUGAAAAUACAAAAUUUGAAGAAUAAAGCUCUACUUUUUUAUGUUGCAGCGGAGGAAACAAACUAAUGGAAAUGCAAAGGAAUUGAGGCAUGUGAUCUCCAUGGACAACCUGUCAGCUACUGACCUUGAUGUUUUUUCUCAUCUGCAACAACACUACAGAGUCGAAGACAAAAAUUAUAUUCCUCCUUCCCCCCUCCAAAACAUUUCUCUCAGCUCCUCCUUCAGUGUCACAUACUCCUUUUCCCCAACUAUUUGGUAACCUUUCACUGGACUUGCCAGUUUGACAGCACCUUUCUUUUACUAGGCAAGCCAAAACAAAAUGUAGCGCAUCAAAUCUGACUCACAGAUACUAACUAGGAUGGAAUAAGCAGCCUUAUGGCUGCAUUCUUCUCAUGAUAUCGUCAAAAUAUCGUCCCAAAAAACAAGACAACAUACAUAUAAUUUUUUUUCCCCACAAUUUCUCUUCCCAUGGGAAAUCAAACGAUAAGAUCUCACAUAAUUAAUUCAAUGGGGAGGAAAAGUUGGCAACAGAAAUAGUAAAUCCUCUCCACUGAAAGUAAAUGGCUCCCGUAUUCACAGUAAAAAAAGCGUGUGAGGAUUUCUACCUGCUUCUCCACUGCAGAAUCUGAAUGCCAAUGAAUUUAUAGUGAAGAGUUUAUGAAACAUAAAUCAUCCUUGUCCCAUGUAUUCAUGAAGUUGUUGGACUUUGCAUCACAAAUGGAUGUCAUGCCUCAACAGCAAGAAAUAUGUGACAUGCCAGAAGUGGCUGCUGGUCUUCUAUAAGAUGUCAGAGCAACAAGCUUUUUCUCCAAGUACAACAACAUAUCUGCCAUGGGAGUCCACUUGACACCAGAUACAAGGACUGCAGUUUCACUUGCCAGAUCACCUCUGAAUUCCCCUAGAGAGAAGUAAAGAGUCCAGAUUCCCUCAAGAUUAGCUCAACCACAGAUUCUACAGCAUAAGACAUCAUCAAAAUCCCAGGGUAACAGAAGUGAACUUGUCAGUUCAUGGCUGUUGGAAACAUUCCUUCCCUCUCCCAGUCUCACAAGACAUAUAUUUUUUGUCAAAUGAUGCAAGGCAGCAGAUGUCCCAUGAGGAAAAAAAAUCUAAAAAUCUAAUAAUUCCAAAUUACAAGAAUCAAAGUAAUCUAAAUUCCCCAUCUGUUGCCUAAUGUGGUUGUCAGAGAAAAUCUCAGUGCUCUGAGAAUGAGGUACAGAGUUCUUGAUGCAAUUAAAGACUUCAGGAAGGUGCUAAGCUUUUCUUUUUUUCAGGCUGCUUUUCAAAGUCUGAAAAAGAAUUCCAGCUCUAGCAAGAUACAGACAGUAAAUAUUUUCGUAUGUUUUUGUAGUUUGAACAUCUGUGACUCUAUAACUUGUAAUAGACAAAUCACAAGUUACCAUGGCUCUGAUGAGCACGGUGUCUUUAGUGAAUACACUUCUUUAUGCUCACUCUAAGGCUGAACCAAGGUCAUUAUAUCUGAGCAGAGAGAAUAUAUAAGGCUUUUCAGAACUGGAAAACAAAUAUAAUGCAAUUAGCUACUGAGGGGAAAAAAAAAAGACUAAAAAGCUAUGAAAAAAAAAAAAAACACC